CGAAUGCUGACAUAAGUAACGAUAAAGCGGGUGAAAAGCCCGCUCGCCGGAAGACCAAGGGUUCCUGUCCAACGUUAAUCGGGGCAGGGUGAGUCGACCCCUAAGGCGAGGCCGAAAGGCGUAGUCGAUGGGAAACAGGUUAAUAUUCCUGUACUUGGUGUUACUGCGAAGGGGGGACGGAGAAGGCUAUGUUGGCCGGGCGACGGUUGUCCCGGUUUAAGCGUGUAGGCUGGUUUUCCAGGCAAAUCCGGAAAAUCAAGGCUGAGGCGUGAUGACGAGGCACUACGGUGCUGAAGCAACAAAUGCCCUGCUUCCAGGAAAAGCCUCUAAGCAUCAGGUAACAUCAAAUCGUACCCCAAACCGACACAGGUGGUCAGGUAGAGAAUACCAAGGCGCUUGAGAGAACUCGGGUGAAGGAACUAGGCAAAAUGGUGCCGUAACUUCGGGAGAAGGCACGCUGAUAUGUAGGUGAAGUCCCUCGCGGAUGGAGCUGAAAUCAGUCGAAGAUACCAGCUGGCUGCAACUGUUUAUUAAAAACACAGCACUGUGCAAACACGAAAGUGGACGUAUACGGUGUGACGCCUGCCCGGUGCCGGAAGGUUAAUUGAUGGGGUCAGCGCAAGCGAAGCUCUUGAUCGAAGCCCCGGUAAACGGCGGCCGUAACUAUAACGGUCCUAAGGUAGCGAAAUUCCUUGUCGGGUAAGUUCCGACCUGCACGAAUGGCGUAAUGAUGGCCAGGCUGUCUCCACCCGAGACUCAGUGAAAUUGAACUCGCUGUGAAGAUGCAGUGUACCCGCGGCAAGACGGAAAGACCCCGUGAACCUUUACUAUAGCUUGACACUGAACAUUGAGCCUUGAUGUGUAGGAUAGGUGGGAGGCUUUGAAGUGUGGACGCCAGUCUGCAUGGAGCCGACCUUGAAAUACCACCCUUUAAUGUUUGAUGUUCUAACGUGGACCCGUGAUCCGGGUUGCGGACAGUGUCUGGUGGGUAGUUUGACUGGGGCGGUCUCCUCCUAAAGAGUAACGGAGGAGCACGAAGGUUGGCUAAUCCUGGUCGGACAUCAGGAGGUUAGUGCAAUGGCAUAAGCCAGCUUGACUGCGAGCGUGACGGCGCGAGCAGGUGCGAAAGCAGGUCAUAGUGAUCCGGUGGUUCUGAAUGGAAGGGCCAUCGCUCAACGGAUAAAAGGUACUCCGGGGAUAACAGGCUGAUACCGCCCAAGAGUUCAUAUCGACGGCGGUGUUUGGCACCUCGAUGUCGGCUCAUCACAUCCUGGGGCUGAAGUAGGUCCCAAGGGUAUGGCUGUUCGCCAUUUAAAGUGGUACGCGAGCUGGGUUUAGAACGUCGUGAGACAGUUCGGUCCCUAUCUGCCGUGGGCGCUGGAGAACUGAGGGGGGCUGCUCCUAGUACGAGAGGACCGGAGUGGACGCAUCACUGGUGUUCGGGUUGUCAUGCCAAUGGCACUGCCCGGUAGCUAAAUGCGGAAGAGAUAAGUGCUGAAAGCAUCUAAGCACGAAACUUGCCCCGAGAUGAGUUCUCCCUGACCCUUUAAGGGUCCUGAAGGAACGUUG
rnacentral:rRNA from 1 species